rnacentral:rRNA from 1 species
CCGCAUGGCCCAUGGAAGAAAAGGUGGCCUCUACCUGUAAGCUAUCGCCUGAAGAGGGGUUUGCGUCUGAUUAGCUGGUUGGAGGGGUAACGGCCCACCAAGGCGACGAUCAGUAGCCGGUCUGAGAGGAUGAACGGCCACACUGGAACUGAGACACGGUCCAGACUCCUACGGGAGGCAGCAGUGGGGAAUCUUCCGCAAUGGGCGAAAGCCUGACGGAGCAACGCCGCGUGAGUGAUGACGGCCUUCGGGUUGUAAAACUCUGUGAUCCGGGACGAAAAGGCAGAGUGCGAAGAACAAACUGCAUUGACGGUACCGGAAAAGCAAGCCACGGCUAACUACGUGCCAGCAGCCGCGGUAAUACGUAGGUGGCAAGCGUUGUCCGGAAUUAUUGGGCGUAAAGCGCGCGCAGGCGGCUUCCCAAGUCCCUCUUAAAAGUGCGGGGCUUAACCCCGUGAUGGGAAGGAAACUGGGAAGCUGGAGUAUCGGAGAGGAAAGUGGAAUUCCUAGUGUAGCGGUGAAAUGCGUAGAGAUUAGGAAGAACACCGGUGGCGAAGGCGACUUUCUGGACGAAAACUGACGCUGAGGCGCGAAAGCGUGGGGAGCAAACAGGAUUAGAUACCCUGGUAGUCCACGCCGUAAACGAUGGAUACUAGGUGUAGGAGGUAUCGACCCCUCCUGUGCCGGAGUUAACGCAAUAAGUAUCCCGUCCUGGGAA